AUCCAAACGACGAGUCACAAAUGGGACGAAACGCGCAUCCUGGAU
rnacentral:hammerhead_ribozyme from 1 species